UACGUAGGGUGCAAGCGUUGUCCGGAAUUAUUGGGCGUAAAGAGCUCGUAGGCGGCUCGUUGCGUCGGCUGUGAAAACCCGCAGCUCAACUGUGGGCUUGCAGCCGAUACGGGCGGGCUGGAGUUCGGUAGGGGAGACUGGAAUUCCGGGUGUAGCGGUGAAAUGCGCAGAUAUCAGGAGGAACACCGGUGGCGAAGGCGGGUCUCUGGGCCGACACUGACGCUGAGGAGCGAAAGCGUGGGGAGCGAACAGG
rnacentral:rRNA from 1 species